rnacentral:tRNA from 1 species
UGGCUCCGUGGUGAAACUGGAAAACACAGGCUUUGAUUAGCUGUCCAACGAUUCCAUAAUCGCGUGGUGUAGGUUCGAAUCCUACCGGAGCAA